rnacentral:tRNA from 1 species
GAGGGUAUAGUUCAGUGGUAGAGCACAUGCUUAGCAUGCAUGAGGUCCUAGGUUCAAUCCCCAGUACCUACA